rnacentral:misc_RNA from 1 species
ACGCUUUCUUCAUCCGCAUGUCGGCAAAAAAAAAAGAGGCUGCGGAAGCGUUUUCCCUAAUCCAGGGAUCACAGAAACACGAAUGCUCAAGUGCACCCGUUUUUCUCGAUUCUCGCACAAGAAGGUACCUCAAAGUCGUCAAGAGGAUUACCCCCUUCCCCCCUCUCUCUCCCACGACGGCGAAGACCGCCACGACCACCUCCUCACGAACAGGAGAAGACAGCCCUCAAGCCUGCAGUGGGCAAAGGGAGGAGGGCAUAAUACGAAACGACGCGCAUAAGGGUCUUUCACCACGAUACAGACAUUGCGGCCCCCAGCGCCAGAUCCCUCUCAUUCACUCCCCGCUUACCUCAUAUAUAUAUGUGAAAACUUUCUGUUCUCUCCGUUUUUUGGUGUCAAUCGCUUGAACUCGGUAAGCCCCUACCCCUCCUCCUCCUCCUCUGCAUUCGAGGCAGAGGAGCAAGCGGAAGUAGCAUUGCGGCUGCUGGUGGUGGUCGCACACGCUCAGAAAAAAAGGGAAGUACACGUGCCACAUGAUUAAUGACGAUAGUGCUGAUCUGAUAAAAGCAUAGCGUUUUCUGUUUGCUCUGUUUUCGUGAUUCCGAUUCCCUCCUCCUCCUAUGCUGCUCUGGCGUUUUUCCGCGCCUGCACCCCCUUCCUCGUUGUAUCAUCCCGUGGUCUCUGUUUGAGUUCCCCUCCCCUACUCCUCCCUCCCUUCUCUGUCCCCAAGCUCCCCCUCGCGCUCCCCAUGCAGACCUCUCUCACAUGCCACCCACUGCCAAGCGUGUGAGACGACAGCAUGUAGUGUCGGUGUGCGUGAAGGCUGAUCGUGAGAUAGCGAGCAGAAGGCAGCGAGAGGAGCGGCCGACGGCGCGCUCCAACAACGAAAGAGUGCAUUUUUUCGUCUACUUGCUUGACUGCACUCCCCCUCUCACCGCCAUCGAUGCGCACUCCACAGUGAAGGACGUGUGCUCAAAAGGGAGGGAUUGCAUCGGAGGGCACGACGGCGGUUGCCGCUUUUUACAGGCCUUACUUGUUCCCCACAUACAGAGCGGGAGAAGUAGUGCAAGCUGCAAGGGGAACGAAGCGGCGCGGUCGGCGAUCGAGAGACAAAUCUCCCUCCACCGCAGAAAGCAGAGGCGCAGAUCAACAUACACGCACAAGCCAGCAGCACCUCUCUUGUCUUGUGGUCUUAUUUUUCGUCUACCGUUUUCUGCCUUCUGGAAGGCAUUCUUGUUUUACACGCCUCCACACCCACCCCCGCCCCUUUCCUUGCUCAGUCAAUGACGUGUGUGUGCGUGUGUGCUGCUGCUGCUGCUGCUGCUGGUGGUGGUGGUGGUGGGUGGUGGUACCACCGCCUCUCGGCCCACAUGUGCUUGCCUUGAAAACAAAGCGCUGCUUUCUCCCUCUCUUGUUUGGCUGCUUCUCUUUAUCAUCAUUAUUCGCCUUUAAAAGAAAAAAAAACAUCAUCGUCAUUGCCAUGUCUUCGUUGUUGCCAUCUGUUGACCUGGCCUGCCUCUCUCACUCUGCCCUCCUCUUCUUUCCGGCUGCUUCGUGUCUCCCUCCCAGCCCCCUUCCCGUCGUUGCCUCACGCUCGUCAGAUGUUUUACUUUUUUAGUUUUGGCGUCGAGUCACUUCAUUCUCUCUGCAGCGUUGGUGAUGAGGCAUCGUAUACGGAUCGAACAAGUGACGAGGGAGCACGCGGGAGGCCAAAAAGAGGCAGACGACGGACGACGUCAUCCGACAAAGGAACUGCUAGUCGCUUCGCUUCUUUUUCUUGGGCAAUGCCCUCGUUAUCCCCUGCCUCCCUGCAUACCCCGUUUGUGUGCCCCGAAGCUUUUCACGCGCACAGGCUCGUGACAUC